rnacentral:rRNA from 1 species
GACGAGGGGUCCAAGCGUUGUUCGGAAUCAUUGGGCGUAAAGCGGGUGUAGGCGGCUCUAUAAGUCAGGAGUGAAAGCCCCGAGCUUAACUUGGGAAGUGCUUUUGAUACUGCAGAGCUUGAAUGUGGGAGAGGGUAGUGGAAUUCCCAGUGUAGCGGUGAAAUGCGUAGAUAUUUGGGAGGAACACCAGGUGGCGAAGGCGGCUCACUGGCCCGAUAACUGACGCUGAGGCACGAAAGCGUGGGGAGCAAACAGG